rnacentral:tRNA from 1 species
CACGACCUGGUGCUGGUCGAGGGCGCGGGCGGGCUGCUGGUCCGUCUGGACGACGCCGGUGCGACGCUCGCGGACGUGGCC